rnacentral:misc_RNA from 1 species
GAUGAAGAACGCAGCGAAAUGCGAUACGUAAUGUGAAUUGCAGAAUUCAGUGAAUCAUCGAAUCUUUGAACGCAUAUUGCGCUCUCUGGUAUUCCGGAGAGCAUGCUUGUUUGAGUAUCAGUAAACACCUCAACUUCCAUAUCUUUUUUGAAAUGGGAGUUGGACUUGAGUGAUCCCAACGCUUUUCCUCACCGAAAAGUGGCGGGUUACUUGAAAUGCAGGUGCAGCUGGACUUUUCUCUGAGCUAUAAGCAUAUCUAUUUAGUCUGCCUAAAAAACAGAUUAUUACCUUUGCUGCAGCUAACAUAAAGGAGAUUAGUUCUUGUGCUGACUGAUGCAGGAUUCACAAAGACGGCUUCGGCCGACUUUGUAAACUCGACCUCAAAUCAAGUAAGACUACCCGCUGAACUUAAGCAUAUCAAUAAGCGGAGGA